rnacentral:rRNA from 1 species
UACGAAGGGGGCUAGCGUUGUUCGGAAUUACUGGGCGUAAAGCGCACGUAGGCGGAUACUUAAGUCAGGGGUGAAAUCCCGGGGCUCAACCCCGGAACUGCCUUUGAUACUGGGUAUCUCGAGUCCGGAAGAGGUGAAGUGGAAUUCCGAGUGUAGAGGUGAAAUUCGUAGAUAUUCGGAGGAACACCAGUGGCGAAGGCGGCUCACUGGUCCGGUACUGACGCUGAGUGCGAAAGCGUGGGGAGCAAACAG